rnacentral:rRNA from 1 species
AACGAACGCUGGCGGCAUGCCUAACACAUGCAAGUCGAACGAGACCUUCGGGUCUAGUGGCGCACGGGUGCGUAACGCGUGGGAAUCUGCCCUUGGGUUCGGAAUAACAGUUGGAAACGACUGCUAAUACCGGAUGAUGACGUAAGUCCAAAGAUUUAUCGCCCAGGGAUGAGCACGCGUAGGAUUAGCUAGUUGGUGGGGUAAAGGCCUACCAAGGCGACGAUCCUUAGCUGGUCUGAGAGGAUGAUCAGCCACACUGGGACUGAGACACGGCCCAGACUCCUACGGGAGGCAGCAGUGGGGAAUAUUGGACAAUGGGCGAAAGCCUGAUCCAGCAAUGCCGCGUGAGUGAUGAAGGCCUUAGGGUUGUAAAACUCUUUUACCCGGGAUGAUAAUGACAGUACCGGGAGAAUAAGCCCCGGCUAACUCCGG